GAUGAACGCUGGCGGCAUGCCUAACACAUGCAAGUCGAACGAAGCACAUGACGAAGCUUGCUUAAGAUUGUGACUUAGUGGCGAACGGGUGAGUAAUGCAUGAGCAACCUGCCCUUCAGUGGGGGACAACAGUUGGAAACGACUGCUAAUACCGCAUAACAUUUUCGAGAGGCAUCUCUUGAAAAUCAAAGAUUUAUUGCUGAAGGAUGGGCUCAUGUCUGAUUAGCUAGUUGGUAGGGUAACGGCCUACCAAGGCGACGAUCAGUAGCCGGUCUGAGAGGAUGAACGGCCACAUUGGGGACUGAGACACGGCCCAGACUCCUACGGGAGGCAGCAGUGGGGAAUAUUGGGCAAUGGGGGGAAACCCUGACCCAGCAACGCCGCGUGAAGGAGAAGGCCCUCGGGUUGUAAACUUCUUUUAGCAGGGACGAAGAACGUGACGGUACCUGCAGAAAAAGCAACGGCUAACUACGUG
rnacentral:rRNA from 1 species